UCUGGCAAAGAGAUUUGCAGAGUGUCGGGUGACCGGCAAAGAGAUCUGCAAAGUGUCAGUUGAAGACGACGGGAGGGGUCGCAGAGGUAGCAACGACUGGAGUAUAACAUGAAGGAGAUCAUCUGGCAAAGAGAUUUGCAGAGUGUCGGGUGACCGGCAAAGAGAUCUGCAAAGUGUCAGUUGAAGACGACGGGAGGGGUUGCAGAGGUAGCAACGACUGGAGUAUAACAUGAAGGAGAUCACCGUUUGGCAAAGUUCUGGCUAAGAGAUUUGCAGAGUGUCGGGUGACCGGCAAAGAGAUCUGCAAAGUGUCAGUUGAAGACGAUGGGAGGGGUCGCAGAGGAAUUAGUGACUGGAGAAUAGCAU